CGGCGGACGGGUGAGUAACGCGUGGGUAACCUGCCUCAUACAGGGGGAUAACAGUUAGAAAUGACUGCUAAUACCGCAUAAGACCACGGCACCGCAUGGUGCGGGGGUAAAAACUCCGGUGGUAUGAGAUGGACCCGCGUCUGAUUAGGUAGUUGGUGGGGUAACGGCCUACCAAGCCGACGAUCAGUAGCCGACCUGAGAGGGUGACCGGCCACAUUGGGACUGAGACACGGCCCAA
rnacentral:rRNA from 1 species